GAUGAACGCUAGCGGCAGGCCUAACACAUGCAAGUCGAGGGGCAUCGCGGUGCAGCAAUGCACUGGCGGCGACCGGCGUACGGGUGCGUAACGCGUAUGCAACCUGCCCCGCACCGGGGGAUAGCCCGCCGAAAGGCGGAUUAAUACCCCAUGGCCCCGGGGGCCCGCAUGGGCAUCCGGGUAAAGCUUUGGCGGUGCGGGAUGGGCAUGCGUGCCAUUAGCUGGCUGGUGGGGUAACGGCCCACCAGGGCAACGAUGGCUAGGGGGUCUGAGAGGAUGGUCCCCCACACUGGUACUGAGACACGGACCAGACUCCUACGGGAGGCAGCAGUGAGGAAUAUUGGUCAAUGGGCGGAAGCCUGAACCAGCCAUGCCGCGUGCGGGAUGAAGGCCCUACGGGUUGUAAACCGCUUUUCCCCCGGGAAGAACUAAGCCCCCCGGCGGGGGGUACGAGUGCCGGUACCGGGGGAAUAAGGAUCGGCUAACUCCGUG
rnacentral:rRNA from 1 species